CUUUCUUGUCUUUCUUCUUCUUUUCUUUCUUUUUCAAGUUGCCACGUGCCAGCAGCUUCUUCCGUUCCUGAGCGACCAGUUCUCUGUAAUGGUCAUCACAGGGGUGGUCCCACAUGGACUGGCCAUUGUUGAAGUUGAAAUAGUAGAUAUCACCAGUGACAUCCUGGCAGGGCUUCCACUGGGGUGGUAACGGAGCCACAAUGCCUUCCCUGGCCAGCCACAUCAGCUCAGGCUCCUUCUCUGGCUCAAUGCCGAUGUCUCUCGCAAAAUCCCAGACUUCUUGCUCACUGGGAACAUAUGUCUCAUCAUAAUCUUCUUCCAGUAUGAUCUGGUCACCAAUGCGUACAACACCUCCUUCCAUGGCUCCCUGCAUCCUUCACUCGGCCCCAACGGACUCUCAUCGGGCCGCGCCGCCCCGCGCC
rnacentral:lncRNA from 1 species